rnacentral:rRNA from 1 species
UACGGGGGGGGCAAGCGUUGUUCGGAAUUACUGGGCGUAAAGGGCUCGUAGGCGGCCAACUAAGUCAUACGUGAAAUCCCUCGGCUUAACCGGGGAACUGCGUCUGAUACUGGAUGGCUUGAGAUUGGGAGAGGGAUGCGGAAUUCCAGGUGUAGCGGUGAAAUGCGUAGAUAUCUGGAGGAACACCGGUGGCGAAGGCGGCAUCCUGGACCAAUUCUGACGCUGAGGAGCGAAAGCCAGGGGGGCAAACGGG